CCUUGAAAUACCACCCUUUAAUGUUUGAUGUUCUAACGUUGACCCGUGAUCCGGGUUGCGGACAGUGUCUGGUGGGUAGUUUGACUGGGGCGGUCUCCUCCUAAAGAGUAACGGAGGAGCACGAAGGUUGGCUAAUCCUGGUCGGACAUCAGGAGGUUAGUGCAAUGGCAUAAGCCAGCUUGACUGCGAGCGUGACGGCGCGAGCAGGUGCGAAAGCAGGUCAUAGUGAUCCGGUGGUUCUGAAUGGAAGGGCCAUCGCUCAACGGAUAAAAGGUACUCCGGGGAUAACAGGCUGAUACCGCCCAAGAGUUCAUAUCGACGGCGGUGUUUGGCACCUCGAUGUCGGCUCAUCACAUCCUGGGGCUGAAGUAGGUCCCAAGGGUAUGGCUGUUCGCCAUUUAAAGUGGUACGCGAGCUGGGUUUAGAACGUCGUGAGACAGUUCGGUCCCUAUCUGCCGUGGGCGCUGGAGAACUGAGGGGGGCUGCUCCUAGUACGAGAGGACCGGAGUGGACGCAUCACUGGUGUUCGGGUUG
rnacentral:rRNA from 1 species